rnacentral:lncRNA from 1 species
UGGGGCGGGGGUAAUGCGCACGCGUGUGCGUGUGGGCCAGCACGUCCGGGUGGUCAGGACGCGCGCUUGUGCGCAUGUCCCCGCGCAGGGUCGGGCGCUGGGGUGUGGAGACUGAACCUUGCAGACACCCGGGUCCGCACGUCUGGGAUGGACGUGAGACAGUCUCGCUAUAUUACCCAGGCUGGAGUGCAGUGUCAAGAUCUCGACUCACUGCAGCCUUGAACUCCUGGGCUCAAGUGAUCCUCCCACAGUGCUGGGAUUACAGGCGUGAGCCACCGCACCCGGCCUCUAGUUCUGUCUUUUUGCUCAGUAUUAGAAUUCGUAAGUUCUGGCCCCAGCAACUCGUCCUUUCAUCUGUCUCAAGUUGCACUGUGGUGGUCACAGGAGCUGUCCUGCACCUUGCACAUGUGGCCAUGAACAAGACUCGCUCCUUGCUCUCAUGGGGCCUUCAUUCCAGUGAGACACAAAUGCAAACACAAAAUUCCAGAAGAGUGCUGAGUGCUAUCAUGAGAAACGAAGACAGGCUGGAAGAUGGGCUCUGACCCCAGAAAACCGAUGGAGAGGCCCAAGCAGCCUUGGGAGCAACAGGCAAGUUGGAGGACACACGGCAAGGCUACUUGGAAGUAGGGGAGGGUGCAUGGGAAACCCUGAGGCUGUGGGGGGAGAGGCAGGAGCCAGGUGAAGUCCAGGUAGAUGGCAGUGGAGAUGUAAGAACAUGGUGGAAUUUUUUUGUUUUUGAGACGGAGUCUUGCUCUGUCCCCCAGGGUGGAGUGCAAUGGUGAGAUCUCAACUCACUGCAACUUCCGCCUCCCAGGUUCAAGCGAUUCUCUGGGAUUAUAGGCACCUGCCACCAUGCCCAGCUAAUUUUUGUAUUUUUUAGUAGAGAUGGGUUUUCACCAUGUUGGUCAGGCUAGUCUCGAACUCCUGACCGCGGGUGAUCCGCCCGCCUCAGCUUCCCAAAGUGCUGGGAUUACAGGCGUGAGCCACCGCGCCUGGCCAGAACAUGGUGGAAUUUGAGUGUGCUUGGGAAUACACUUAUAGGACUUGCUGAUUAGUUGAAUGAGGAAAUAAAAGAACGAAGAAUAUCUUCUGGGAUUUCAGCCUGAGCAACUGGGUUGCUGGUGGAUGGUGGUUCUCUUAUCAAGGAUGGGAAAGAUGGGUUGUCUCCCCUAAAAUACUGAGUUUUAAAGGCAGGGACUGUAUCUUUGCAGUCCUGGCUCCUAGCAAGGGCCUAGCCCUUAUAUGACAUUCGUGAAUGUUGAAAUGAAUGUGACACGCCUGAAACAAUCCUUCUCCCUCACCUAGGCCCACAUCUCCAAGUCAAUAUUCCAGUACAAGCCACAUCCAGUCCCCUCACUGACACACACAGGCCUGGGCCCAGGAGCUCACCCCUGUGCUGUAAGGCUAGGUGCAUGUGUUAUUUCCAGAGUCUACCCUUGGAGGUGCCUCAGACUCCUGGGUACCUGUCGCUGGGAGGUAGCCAGUCAUGCUGUCCACAUACAUGCUUUUGGGCAGUAGAGAAGCUGAUCAUUGGGAAGGUUUAUUUCCUGUCUCCACAACAGGAGGCAGGUCACAGCAGUGGCCACACAGUGCACAAAAGGCCAUCCCCUCACAGCCGCAUGGUUGGCAUGCAGCAUCUCAGCCUCCAAACUGGAAGCCCCCUAUCCAAGGAGCCCCCAGGUGGGAGAGGAAGGUCACAAGCCUCCCAAGUACCUCAAGAUGCCUGCGCAUCCUCCCCCAUUUCUCAGAUGGGCCAAGGCCUGUGAAGCCCUUGCAGUAGUAGCUCAGGUGUAGCAUCUGCUCAGCUUCCCUCCCCACUCAUUUGCACACAGCCAGAGCUGCGGGACUUCUGCCCUCUGGCCUCCAGCACUGCUGUGAAUCAGAACUAGUCAAGAGAACUGGGUGCUUGUGUUAAAUGGGAACACUCUGGAAUAAAAUAUGGGCUUUUUUAAAGAGAUGGGGUCUCACUAUGUUGCCCAGGCUGGUCUUGAACUCCUGGCCUCAAGCAAUCCUCCCAGGUCAGCCUCCCAAAUUGCUGGGAUUACAGGCGUGAGCCAGCACACCCAGCCCCUGCUAGCUUUUUAAUAUGAACUUCCAGUGUAUUCUUGAGCACUCUCAGGCAACAUGGCCGUUACCGAGCAACUUUGUCCUGAGGUGCAUUUGGAAGGCUCUGGGACUUGGUCCCCAUGCUCAACUUCAGGGCACCUUGGCAGAAAGAAGAGUGGUUCCUACACCAGCAGCUUAUAUAUUAAUGCCCACAUUACUCCAUUUUCUUCAGGUCGUCAAAAAAGGUUCCACUGAGGUGCUGUCUUUCUGUAAAUGAAAAUGAGCUGAAAUGCUCCUGUGACCUGCCCUCCAUUUGUGGGUCUCAUGAUACUAUCUUUCUUCUGCUUAACACGAUGGCAUCAUCCAGUGAGACAGGUCCUGUUUUUGUUUUUUUCUUUUUUUCUUUUUCUUUUUUGAGACAGAGUCUCACUCUGUUGCCCAGGCUGGAGUGCAGUGGAGCAGUCUUGGCUCACUGCAACCUCUGCCUCCCGGGUGCAAGCAGUUCUCCUGCCUCAGCCUUCCAAGCAGCUGGGAUUACAGGUACCUGCGACCAUACCACCUAAUUUUUUGUAUUUUUAGUAGAGAUGGGGUUUCGCCAUGUUGGGCAGGCUGGUCUUGAACUCCUGACCUCAUGAUCUACUGUCUCAGCCUCUCAAAGUGGUGGGAUUAUAGGCGUGAGCCACAGUGCCUGGCUUUUUUUUUUUUUUGGAGACAGCCCCAUCGUUCUGUCGCCAGGCUGGAGUGCAGUGGUGCGAUCUCGGCUCACUGCAACCUCUGACUUCCUGGUUCAAGCGAUUCUUCUGCCUAAGCCUCCUGAGUAGCUGGGAUUACAGGCACACGCCACCAUGCCCGACUAAUUUUUGUAUUCUUAGUAGAGAUGGGGUUUCACCAUGUUGGCCAGGAUGGUCUCGAUCUCCCGGCCUUGUGGUCCACCUGCCUCAGCCACCUACAGUUCUGGGAUUACAGGUGUGAGCCACUGCGGCCGGCAGAGACAGGUCCUUCUUAUCCCUGUAAGGCACAGUAUCUCUGCCAUAGAUUGGGUCCCUGGUUUGGGAAGAGGGUAAAACAAGCCCUCAUUCUUGGGUCUCGUCAUUGGACAAGCUGGCUGGGCAAGUCACAGCAUCCACAUUUGGUGGAACAUGGGUGUUGGUAGACCCCAACCCAGAGAGCUUGCACCCUUGCAGAGGACGUCUCCUUCACUACUGCACUGGCUCCCCCUGCACAGGGGCCUAAACCAGCUUGGGCCUUAGGGAAGCCAAUAGGGGAGGCGUAGCUGCUUGUUCUCCCUCCUGCCCAUCCACUUCAGCUCACCGUAAUAUCCCAAGUGGUCUUCCCCUUGCUAGAAUCAGAGGACAGGCUGACCUAAAAACCAACUCAGUAUGCAGCUUUUCAAAGCAAUGAGUCAGGCAGGGCUUUUGACAUAAUGUCCUCUGCAGUUCAUUUUAAACAAGGAUACAAAGUAUUAUUAAAUGUAUAUUUUUAAUAAAGCCAAUAGUUAUUUUACUUAUAGGAGCUUUA